rnacentral:lncRNA from 1 species
ACAAUGGCAGUUAAGAUGAAGGGUACCCAAAUUAACUCUCAUCUUGGUACAAUGUAGCUUCUAUAAAGUACAAACAAGACAACCUUCUGUCAAUGAGAUCCGUCAACGGCUUGCCUUCACAUUUAGAUCAGUUACUAUUUGUUGUUAUGGCGAAUAAUCACUUUAGAUACCUUUUUUAAUACUUGUCAUCAAAAUGUUGUAUUUCUCACUUUAAAUACUCCUCUUAUUUUAACUUGCGUCCCAGCACCCCAAAAGAGCACCAAAUAAAAAGCAAUCUCUUAGGUGUCUCAAGGAUAAUCACCAAUCUUCAGUGUGUAUGCAAAAUGUAAGUAGUUC